AAACAUCACCACUGUGAAAAU
ensembl:piRNA 21ur-4579 ncRNA